rnacentral:rRNA from 1 species
AACGAACGCUGGCGGCAUGCCUAACACAUGCAAGUCGAACGAAGGCUUCGGCCUUAGUGGCGCACGGGUGCGUAACGCGUGGGAAUCUGCCCUUAGGUUCGGAAUAACAGCUGGAAACGGCUGCUAAUACCGGAUGAUAUCGCGAGAUCAAAGAUUUAUCGCCUGAGGAUGAGCCCGCGUUGGAUUAGGUAGUUGGUGGGGUAAAGGCCUACCAAGCCGACGAUCCAUAGCUGGUCUGAGAGGAUGAUCAGCCACACUGGGACUGAGACACGGCCCAGACUCCUACGGGAGGCAGCAGUGGGGAAUAUUGGACAAUGGGCGAAAGCCUGAUCCAGCAAUGCCGCGUGAGUGAUGAAGGCCCUAGGGUUGUAAAGCUCUUUUACCCGGGAAGAUAAUGACUGUACCGGGAGAAUAAGCCCCGGCUAACUCCGUGCCAGCCGCCGCAGUAA